ACACUCCUACGGGAGGCAGCAGUGGGGAAUAUUGCACAAUGGGCGCAAGCCUGAUGCAGCCAUGCCGCGUGUAUGAAGAAGGCCUUCGGGUUGUAAAGUACUUUCAGCGGGGAGGAAGGCAAUACGGUUAAUAACCGUGUUGAUUGACGUUACCCGCAGAAGAAGCACCGGCUAACUCCGUGCCAGCAGCCGCGGUAAUACGGAGGGUGCAAGCGUUAAUCGGAAUUACUGGGCGUAAAGCGCACGCAGGCGGUCUGUCAAGUCGGAUGUGAAAUCCCCGGGCUCAACCUGGGAACUGCAUUCGAAACUGGCAGACUUGAGUCUUGUAGAGGGGGGUAGAAUUCCAGGUGUAGCGGUGAAAUGCGUAGAGAUCUGGAAGAAUACCGGUGGCGAAGGCGGCCACCUGGACAAAGACUGACGCUCAGGUGCGAAAGCGUGGGGAGCAAACAGGAUUAGAAACCCGGGUAGUCCC
rnacentral:rRNA from 1 species